rnacentral:rRNA from 1 species
UACAGAGGUCUCAAGCGUUGUUCGGAAUCACUGGGCGUAAAGGGUGCGUAGGCGGCACGGUAAGUCAGAGGUGAAAUCCCGGAGCUCAACUUCGGAAUUGCCUCCGAUACUGCCGUGCUUGGGGACUGGAGAGGAGAUUGGAAUUCACAGUGGAGCAGUGAAAUGCGUAGAUAUUGUGAGGAACACUAGUGGCGAAGGCGAAUCUCUGGACAGUUCCUGACGCUGAGGCACGAAGGCCAGGGGAGCAAACGGG